rnacentral:rRNA from 1 species
UACGGAGGGUGCGAGCGUUGUCCGGAAUCACUGGGCGUAAAGGGCGCGUAGGUGGCGGCCCAAGUCCGUGGUGAAAGCUCGCCGCUUAACGGCGAGUCGGCCACGGAGACUGGGUGGCUCGAGCACUGUAGGGGCAGAUGGAAUUCCGGGUGUAGCGGUGGAAUGCGUAGAGAUCCGGAAGAACACCAGUGGCGAAGGCGGUCUGCUGGGCAGUUGCUGACACUGAGGCGCGACAGCGUGGGGAGCAAAUAGG